rnacentral:rRNA from 1 species
AGGCAGCAGUGGGGAAUAUUGCACAAUGGGCGCAAGCCUGAUGCAGCAACGCCGCGUGAGGGACGACGGCCUUCGGGUUGUAAACCUCUUUUAGUAGGGAAGAAGCGAAAGUGACGGUACCUGCAGAAAAAGCACCGGCUAACUACGUGCCAGCAGCCGCGGUAAUACGAAGGGUGCAAGCGUUAAUCGGAAUUACUGGGCGUAAAGCGUGCGUAGGCGGUUUGUUAAGUCCGAUGUGAAAGCCCUGGGCUCAACCUGGGAAUGGCAUUGGAAACUGGCGAGCUAGAGUAAGGUAGAGGAGUGCGGAAUUCCUGGUGUAGCGGUGAAAUGCGUAGAGAUCAGGAGGAACAUCCGUGGCGAAGGCGGCACUCUGGACCAUUACUGACGCUGAGGCACGAAAGCGUGGGGAGCAAACAGGAUUAGAUACCCUGGUAG